rnacentral:rRNA from 2 species
CUACUGGUUUCGGAGCGCAGCACAAGUCGCACUCUCUAUCAGCAAAGGUCUAGCAUCCAU